rnacentral:sRNA from 1 species
UGACCACCCGAAAGGGUCAAGGCCAUACGGACAGCCGGGUCAACUGCCGA